UGGGAGCACCCGGGCUCCUGGGAAGGGCGAGGGUGACGCAGCUCCGAGGCCGCUACUAUUUGCUGUUUGUCUUUGCUUUUUGUGGGCUGUUUAAUAAUGGCCCCAAAUGUAAAUAUAUGGGGGCCAAGAUAAUUUUCUUUAUCAGAGUUCCAGGCUCCGCUGGCUUAAAGCUGCCGUUGGAGAGGGGGGAGUUGUCCCUCAGAGCUGCCUCUUUAUCUUCUAAUUCCACAUUUUACAUGUUUUGCCUUUAAGCAGAAGCUGUCUCAGAAAACUUUCAUCCCUUGUGAAAACGUAUUUGUUACCGCCAGACAUCCCAAAAUAGCUCUUUGUGCCUUCUUUUUCUUCGUCUCCUGCCAUACCAAAACUCCCGGGUUUGAUCUUUCACACCAGCACUCUGGGAACAAGAUGGAAAAGCUCCGUUUUCAGGUGCGAGACUCAAGCAAAGAAGAAAAACCCUAAAGCCUCUUACACGGUUGUAGUAAGAGAUGUACUUGGGAACUCUACAUCUGAAGACGGGCCUGGAUUUGCACCACCCAAAUUUUAGAGCGGUUCUGCCUGCGGUUCCGCGUGCUGCGGCGGUAACUUGUGCUCCAGAAGCACAAUUUAAGUGUAAAAGUGAGACGCCUCUGAUGCUGGGAGUCGUUUGGAGACUAUGUUUUCCUUGACAGCUGAUCAAAAGAUGCAGCUUUCUAGAAAUACCAUAUAGCUGAGGUCUGACCGGGCCAGCAAAUGCAGCUGUGGCAAAACAUCAUUUCAAAGGUAGGAUGUCAUUUUCGGUAACGGCUUUGCUGGAUGCCCGCGGGGCCUCACCGCUCGCCGGCACAGGGCAUGCAGGUGCAUCAGGCAGCUGCCUGGAGGUACCAGGGACAGGCUGCCUUAAGGUAGGUGAGCAAGACCUCCUGGUGCUGGCAGAAGAUGAAGCAAUGAGUUAUUCUAACCAAGGCCUUAAGAAACAUUUCCUUCAGUAAUGAAUUUGCGGUGGACCAAAAGCGAGAAAAUCCCAUAUAGAGAGAAUUGAAGAGGAGGCAGGCACGAUCGCCCCUGUGCCCAUCGGACCUGGAAAACUUCCACAGAAGGGCUUUAUCACAAAGGAACCAUAUCUGUUGGUUGGGGGGGAAAAAAAAGCCAGUUCAGGAAAAGCAAACUUGUUUUUCUAACUUAGAACUAGAUUUAAGGCACCUCCUUCCAUUUCUCUCUCUCGCAGGAGGAAAAAGCAUCCCUGCACAGAGCGUAUUUUACUGCCCAGGCAGCUCAUCUGACUUUCUGAAACAUGAGGGGAGGAGCAAGUGCGCAUCACGGUGUUGGCACAGCAGGGGCACGUGGCCUGUCUGAUUUGGAGAGGGCACUAUAGGCAGAUAAAUACCCUUCAGGGGUGUGUUAAAUGAACCUGCGAGAGUCAGCUGUUUCCCUGGAACUUGCUUUUUUCUUUGCUUUCCAACGACAGGUAUUUUCUUUCUUUUCUUUUCGGAGUGCAGGUAUCUGCUGGGAGCCGUGAGGUUUGUGAAAUACUGUGACCAUGAGAUACUCUCCUCAGCUGAGCCGCCUGGUACCUUGCUGGGUGCCUGCGUACAGCCUCAGGGUGCACCAUCGAAAGGUUUUCAGGAUUCGGGGGAUUCAGCUGUUCUUCUGAGAGGUCUGCUUAAAGCCCCCAAACCCUGAAGACAGCUUCUAUUCUAGAUUGGGUUUUUUGUUAAGAAUAAAUACAGAAAACAAGCCUCUUCGCAAAAUAAAAUGAAGUUCAUGGUU